GGUCGGCAGCCCUGGUGGCUUCAAGAUGCUGAGCUCAUCAACCUCGUGGUCUUCCUUCUUGAAAGCAAAAUAUGAAAAGCCCUUUAAGUUCAUCACAGGUGAAGGAGAUCCUUGCCGAUGGCUCACUGUCGUGAGACCCAGGAUGAAGAUGGAUGGUCCAAAUGCCUCCAGUUCAUUUCCUUGACUGGCUUGAUUCAGUACUCUGCUUUCUUUUCCUUUCUGAAGCCUUGGAAGGUCAGGGUUUUCCAGACACAGAUUUUCAGUUAUGACGGCAUCAUUUCUCCCCCACCUGAAAUGUCUUACAGUAACAGAACACUUUAUCUUAUUUAAUUCUGCUGUUCAUCAUGGUCUGAGCCCUGCAAACUCCCUGUGAAAGGAAGUUUAU